rnacentral:rRNA from 1 species
GACGAACGCUGGCGGCGUGCUUAACACAUGCAAGUCGAGCGAGAAACCCUCUUCGGAGGGGAGUACAGCGGCGAACGGGUGAGUAACACGUGGGCAACCUGCCCCAAGGAGCGGGACAACCCGGGAAACCCGGGCUAAUACCGCAUGUUCCGCGGUGCCUCAAGGCACCUCGGGAAAUGGUAGCUUCGGCCUCCGCCUUGGAUGGGCCGCGGCGCAUUAGCUUGUUGGUGGGGUAAUGGCCCACCAAGGCGACGAUGCGUAGCUGGUCUGAGAGGACGAUCAGCCACACUGGGACUGAGACACGG